UACAGAGGUGGGCGAGCGUUGUCCGGAAUCACUGGGCGUAAAGGGCGCGUAGGUGGCGACCCAAGUCAGUGGUGAAAGCUCGCCGCUCAACGGCGAGUCGGCCACUGAUACUGGGUUGCUCGAGCACUGUAGAGGCAGAUGGAAUUCCGGGUGUAGCGGUGGAAUGCGUAGAGAUCCGGAAGAACACCGGUGGCGAAGGCGGUCUGCUGGGCAGUAGCUGACACUGAGGCGCGACAGCGUGGGGAGCAAACAGG
rnacentral:rRNA from 1 species